rnacentral:lncRNA from 1 species
CACGGACGUUCUUUUUCUUAUUCGUAAGAUACUCAUCAGUUAACAUUAACAAUGCAACGUUUAAUUGUAAUUUCUAUAAUUUUUGUGAUGGUCUUCAUCGACACAUGCAGAUCAUUCACGAUAAUUGGUAAAUAUACAUAAUAUAUGAGAAUUACGAAUAACAGAAGAGUAAUAAUGUUAUAUUUUUUCAUAAUUAAAACAUGAAUAACUGUAGGUUUUUGAAGUUUUUUAAUGUUUUUAUUAACAUUUUCUAUACAUGAUACGAUUUUCAAUAUAUUUUGACUUGUAUAGUCAUAUUAUUUUUUUGUAAGCAUUUAAAACUAAAGUUUUAAAAAAAAAUCUCGGAAAAUUCAGAUAGCAUUACAUGUCUAGUGUAUAUUGAUUAUAGAAUAAUUUUUCUUUCAGUGUGUAUCAGUUGAUUUAUGCCUAAUAUAAAUCUCGUAAUGUAGUGAUAACAAAUAUUUUUUGCUAUCAUAAACUUUACAUUAACACCUUACUUAACAUUACGAACUGCGUGGAAACAUAUCGCAUUAAUGAAGCCCGCCUUGAUACCAGGUGUACUAAUUUUACAAUAAUACGCUAAUGUAAAUUAUCGUACGCCUACUGUACACACGUCACAUAAUCAACGGUUUUACAGUGAAUAAUUGUAUAUAAUUUGUAAUUUAUAUUUUGUGUUAAUAAGUAGAUCGUAGGUACUUGUGAUAUUAUAUUAGGGCAUCAGGCAGUUAAGUAUACUUGGUACUUAAAUAUUCAGAAUAUAGGUUCACGAGUUAAAAAAAAAAAAAUUAACUUGCCCAGCCUUGUGAAUAUGUAACUGAAAUUUAAUUUUGUAAUUUUCUGUGGAAUUUAAAAAUUAUUAUAAUUUAUUUUUACCGUAGACCAGGGUAUCAAUGAGAUGCUGGCACCCGAUGGUAAGAUACGUUUAAAAAUAUCAGAAUACAUAUAAAUCAAAUAUUCUGAAAAUGUAUUAAAAUAUUUUAUAUUAAUAAUAUUUUUACCAUAGAAUACCUAAAACAAGAAAUUUAACGUAUAGUUUAUGAUUUUAGAUAUUAUACGAUAAUUAUUAAAUAAUAAUAAUUAAAUUUCAAUAAGUAAUAAUAAUAUAAAUUAUUUAAUUUAUUUAUUUAAAAUUCUUUAAUUUAUUGGCAAAACACCAAUGCUAAACACACUUUCAUUGGUAGUACUACUGAUCAUACACGUAUAAUUUACCUCAGUGAGUGCCACUUGGGCGCGAAGCAGUAUAAUAAUUGUCAGGCAACCUUUUCAAAAUGGGUUAUACAAACCACGCACUAACUAAAAAUGUUUUUCAAAACUAAUUGAGGGUUUGCCAUCCAUCCAUCCAUCUUUUGAUAUUUCUCUAUUUAUAAAAACACCCAUUUUUUUGUAUUUUUUUUUUACAAUUUAUUUAGAUAUAUUAUAAAAAGUAAUAAUAUAUAAGUUGUACUAUGGCAACAAUGUAAGUUGAUAAUAAUUAAUAAUAUAGUUGCAAAAAUUAGUAUUUAAUUAAAUAGUAAAAUAUUUGCUAAGAAUAAACCAAAAAUAAUUUAGUAUCUUAAGACAAUUUAUAGUACCUACAUUUUAGAUUCGGAGCGUAGCGAGGGAUCUAUCGAUUUUACUGUGAUGAAUGCUUUUUUUAUGUCUUGAAAAAAAAGAGUGUUAAAACAAAUCUUUAGUUCGGUAUAAAGUACUUCAUGUUUAGUUAUCAGUUUUGUCUGAGCGGAGCGUAAACCAUCAAUAGUCUUCAGAAUGUCAUCAAGAGACGAUCAUUGCUUACGAUUAGAAGGUGACUGGAGUUUUAUGGAACCAGAUAAAGAAGAACGAAUUAGAAUUGGUGAGUUUAAGUUGGUUGCCACGAAGAAGCUAGAAAACACCGCAGGCUUAUAAAAAACAAGAGAAGUACGAUAAGUUAAGAUGAGCGACAGCGGGUGGCUUAAGACUAUUAAGAGACGGCGAGUAAAGGUACACAGAUUACUAAGAUUAUAAUUUGAGUGUGCAACUGGUGACUAGGAGAAAGAAGAUAGGCAGAAUCUUCUUAGAAACUCUCAAAAUAUAAAGGAACCCAAACAGUAACAUCGGUACAAGUGGAAAAGAUAAGUAGAAUUAUCGUACGCUUGUAAGAUAUUAAUUUAUAUGAGAAUAAAUAAAAACGAGAAAGCAAUUGAGAUGUUAUCACUUGUUAUGAUGUUAUUGAAAUAAAAGAAUAUUUUAAUAAUUUUAAAUCGAAUUGUAAGACUUCGAUAGUUUUAAUUAUUUUGUCGGUUUCCAUCAUGGAUUAAUUUAAAUGUGUAGUACGUAUAGCAUGUCCAAUGUAUGGUGACCAGAUAUAAAAAUAAAAAAAAAGUGCGUUUUAAAAUUUGUUGUCUUUAUUAUAAAAAAAACUCCUACCUUGAAAGAAUUGGCCAAUGUGUAUACUGUUCUACCCAUUUUGCCCAUAGGUCAUCUCCAUCUAUAUACAUUAUUUUUUAUCUGAUUACUAUAUUAUUAUUUUUUCUAUUAUCAACUAUAAAAACUCAUUUGAAUAUCAUUUGAAAUCAUAAUGUCAACUCAUUUGGUUUUUGUUUUUAUGAUGAAAAUACUUUGAAGUUUAACAUUUCCAAAAAAAAUCAUUUUAAAUAAAUAAUUUUUAUAGGUAAAAAUUUAAAUAAAUAAAUACAACCGUUGUCGGUUACUUGUAGACAUUUGGAAUGCAUUAGGUCGAACAAUAAAAUAUAAAAGUAUAAAUGAAUAAAUAAAUUAUAAAAAUCGUAAACACGUAUUAGCUUAUAUUUUCAAAAAAAAGAGUACACUUUAAUGUACUUAACACUAAUGUUAAGGACAUAGGACAAUGCAUAAAAAAGAGCACUCUCCUACGAAGAAGAGUCUGGUCACCAUAGUAUAUAUUAUAGGUAAAAUCCGAAAUUGGACAAAUCUCAGAAAUGCCCGAGCAAAACGGGAAGUGCCCACGAUACUUAGGUAAAACGUCAAAUUUCGGAUUUUUCUCGGGCAAAUCUGUUACAUAAAUUUCAAUUUUUCACAUUAGGUAGUGUACAGUGUUAUUAAUAUUACAACAUUCUACUAUUAAUAAUAUUACAAUCUAGCUCUCCUCAGUAUUAAAUAAUAAAUAAAAUAUACAUAUUUAGUAUAGAAAUAAUUAAUUUCACUAAAUACAAUUUUUAAAAAUUGUAACACUUAUAUUAUAUUAUGUAAUUUGAAAGAUUCGACAAAAAAAUAAAAAUUAUUAAUUUUAUAUUAAAAAUAUGUAAAUUAUUUUAAAUAAAUUAAGUUUAUUUUUUUUAAAUUAACUUGUAAUUGCCUUUACAAAGUAAUAAAAGAAAAAAAAAGAACUGUAACUUUUCAUUUUAAACUUAACUUACAAUUCUAAAUAUAAAUUCACGAAUUAAAAAAUGACUUAAUAAUAAUAAUUAUAUCUUUUUUUUAAUUCAAGACCCUGAAUGGAGUACAAAUAUACCGUUACCAACUAGUAAGAUACUUCUUAAAACUAUAAAAAUAUGUAUAAUAAUCUUAAUAUGAAUUUGAAUACGUAAUAUUUAGUUCUUAUCUGACUUAAGUCCGAUACAGCCGUUCGUUGUUCGUCACUCAUUGUUAUGCUCGGUUAUAUGGGUAUUACGUAAAUAUAUAUUAUAAAACUAUUAUAGCCAUCAAACUCUUGCAAUGUCAGAGUGUGCCAAGUGCUUAGAAAAUCUAGACCAUUUUGGCGACGUUUUUCCGUGCACUAUAUAUAAUAAAAAUACAGAUUUCUAUGGCAAUGGAAUUUCUGAAUCGCAACUCAAAAAAGACGAAUAUACUUUGCCCGAUGGAUGAAGUCACUGUUGUUGGUGAGAAGUUGGUAAAGUAGGUUAUAGAGGAGAAAUUAAUUUGUAUCUGUAAGUAACGAUAAAUCUAUACUUAAUAAACAAGAUAUUGUGUGGAGUUUUGUUAAUAGUGAUGCUUUUUCAACAAUAUGUAUACCAUACUAUUGUAAACAAUUUAAAUAGGCAUUCUAUAUUUACUUAAAUAAUAUUUGUUUAAUAUUGUACUGAUUUUCCCGUUUUUUUACGUUUUUUUCAUUUACUGAGAAAACUCUUGAGAAGAUGACCUCCUUAAAGUACCUUUUCACUCAGAUUUUUUUUCACAAAAAGUGCUAUUAUUUUAAAUCUGAGAAAAAUUGCUGGUAGAAAAGUUGUUCGUAAANUUUUCAACUGAUACCUACAUUUUGAACAUUUUUCCGUUUCGUCUCAUUUAUCGAGAAAUCUCCAAAACAAAUCGAAAAAUGACUCCCCUAUAGUAUCACUCUAGUCUGAUUUCCUUCAGAAAAAGUACUACAAUUAAAAAUCGGAGCAAGAUUUCUGGUAGAUAAGCGUGCACAACAAAUCGAGGAUUAUUUUUCAAUUAAAAUAGUUUUAGCGAGCGAUAGUUACUAAGUACACUUAAAAUACAUUUGUUUCGAAACUUCGGUUUACAAUUGUGAUCUCUAUGAUGUUAAUAGAAUAUUUUAACCAUUAGACUACGGCAAACAUAUUUAAGUUUGAGAAUUUAUAGUUAUUUAACAUAACAUAUAAUAUCUGCUUAAUAUUAGUUCAAUUAAUUCUGACCUUAUCAUCGUUUUUAAAUCAGCAGUAUACAUAUGUUCAGGACAAAAAAUUUCAAAAUUAGAUUUGUUAUACGUAAUUUGAUAUUAAAAUUUCUCUAUAAAAAAAAAAAAUACUUCAUUAAACACAAUUUUUUUUUCCUACUUCAAAGUAAGACUUUUAAUGAACCUUCUCUGAAAUUUGUAUGCAUUUAUUUUUAGUUUGACAAUUUAAACAUUGAGUACUACCAAAUAAAAAUUACGUACAAAAAUCGUAAAUUAAAAUGUUUAUAAAUAACUCAUAGCAGUAUAGUCCAACGGGAAAACUCCCGAAAUCUCGAUGGACUACUUUGCCCUUGUACANUAAUAUCUGCUUAAUAUUAGUUCAAUUAAUUCUGACCUUAUCAUCGUUUUAAAAUCAGCAGUAUACAUAUGUUCAGGAAAAAAAAUUUCAAAAUUAGAUUUGUUAUACGUAAUUUGACAUUAAAAUUUCUCUAUCAAAAGAAAAAAUACUACAUUAAACACAAUUUUUUUUUCCGACUACAAAGUAAGACUUUUAUUGAACCUUCACUGAAAUUUGUAUGCAUUUAUUUUUAGUUUGACAAUUUAAACAUUGAGUACUACCGAAUAAAAACUACGCACAAAAAUCGCAAAUUAAAAUGUUUAUAAGCUUAUAGUUAUAGCUCAUAGCAGUCUAGUCCAUCGGGAAAACUCCCGAAAUCUCGAUGGACCACUUUGCCCUUGUACAUAUGUGAACAUUAUCGUUUUGUUUUUCCAAAUUACGGGAAUUUUUGCCUUUGCGAACUAUGCGUACAAUUUGUUUAUCAUUAUUGCGGGUCUAGGACGAAUGGAGACGGCCGUAGACAAAAAUGCUCGUAAUUUGGAAAAACUAAACGAUAAUGUACACAUAUGCAAAACAAUAUUAUUAACAUAUAAAUGGCAUUUUAUGUUUCUGUCAAAAAUUAUAUUACAUAUGUAAUUUUUAUAUAUUAUGAACAAUAAAGAGCCCAACAAAUACACGGUAUCACCAAAUGCAUGGAAGUAUAAUUUUCCCUGUCAAUAAUCGGUUUAAUACGUGUGCAAAAUACGUGCGCUCUGACCUCCUAAAAAUUCAAUAUAGUCGAAUGUAUUGAAUGUAAAUUAUAUAUAUUUUUAAAAUUGUCCGUGAUAUUAAAAAUAAUAUUUAUUUUAUUAUUCUAGAUGCGAAUCCUGG